UACGGAGGGUGCAAGCGUUGUCCGGAAUCACUGGGCGUAAAGGGCGCGUAGGCGGCUCAUGAAGGCUGUGGUGAAAGUCCGGGGCUCAACCUCGGAUCGGCCGUGGCGACUCGUGGGCUGGAGCACUGUAGAGGCGGGUGGAAUUCCGGGUGUAGCGGUGGAAUGCGUAGAGAUCCGGAAGAACACCAGUGGCGAAGGCGGCCUGCUGGGCUAUGGCUGACACUGAGGCGCGACAGCGUGGGGAGCAAACAGG
rnacentral:rRNA from 1 species